UACGUAGGGUGCAAGCGUUAAUCGGAAUUACUGGGCGUAAAGAGCGCGCAGGCGGUCGGAUAAGUCGAAUGUGAAAGCCCCCGGCUCAACUGGGGAGGGUCAUUCGAUACUGUUCGACUCGAAGGCAGGAGAGGGAAGUGGAAUUCCCGGUGUAGUGGUGAAAUGCGUAGAUAUCGGGAGGAACACCAGUGGCGAAGGCGACUUCCUGGCCUGUUCUUGACGCUGAGGCGCGAAAGCUAGGGGAGCAAACGGG
rnacentral:rRNA from 1 species